rnacentral:rRNA from 1 species
GCGAACGCUGGCGGCAGGCCUAACACAUGCAAGUCGAGCGCCCGAGCAACCGGGAGCGGCAGACGGGAGAGUAACACGUGGGAACGUACCCUUCAGUUCGGAACAACCCAGGGAAACUUGGGCUAAUACCGAAUACGUCCGUAAGGAGAAAGAUUUAUCGCUGAAGGAUCGGCCCGCGUCUGAUUAGCUAGUUGGUGAGGUAACGGCUCACCAAGGCAACGAUCAGUAGCUGGUCUGAGAGGAUGAUCAGCCUCAUUGGGACUGAGACACGGCCCAAACUCCUACGGGAGGCAGCAGUGGGGAAUAUUGGACAAUGGGCGCAAGCCUGAUCCAGCCAUGCCGCGUGGGUGAUGAAGGCCCUAGGAUUGUAAAGCCCUUUCGGCGGGGAAGAUAAUGACGGUACCCGCAGAAGAAGCCCCGGCUAACUUCGU